rnacentral:rRNA from 1 species
GUCCUUUUGAAAUUUAUUUAAGGUUUAACCUGCCCACUGAUUUAUUGAAGGGCCGCAGUAUUUUGACUGUGCAAAGGUAGCAUAAUCAUUAGUUUUUUAAUUUAAAGCUUGUAUGAAGGGUUGGACGAGGUAAAUUCUGUCUCUAAAUAAUUAAUUUUAGAAUUUAAUUUUUAAGUUAAAAAGCUUAAAUUUAUUUAAAAGACGAGAAGACCCUAUAGAUCUUUAUAUUAUAUUUAUUAAUUAUAUAUAAGAUUUAUAAAUUAAUUAAUAGAUUUAGUAUUUUAUUGGGGUAAUAAAAAGAUUAAAUUAAUUCUUUUAUUUUUUAACAUUGAUAAAUGAAUUUAUGAUCCAAUAUUAUUGAUUUAAAGAUUAAGUUACCUUAGGGAUAACAGCGUAAUUUUUUUAGAGAGUUCAUAUCGAUAAAAAAGCUUGCGACCUCGAUGUUGGAUUAAAAAUUAUUUUAGGUGUAGAAGCUUGAAAUUUUGGUCUGUUCGACCAUUAAAUUUUUACA